UUGUCAGACUGACAAUACUAAUGUCUUAUCACAGUGAAAAAUCUAUCGCUAAAUCUCUUCUUUUAGGCAAGGAACACAACUUCAGAAAGGUGGAAACCAAUAACUUGAUGACCCCGUAUGACUACACCUCUGUGAUGCACUAUGGAAGGUAUGCAUUCUCUAAAGAGUAUGGUAAGCUGCCAACUACCAUUCCAAAGCCAGACUCUAAUGUUCAGAUCGGAGAGGCCCGACAGAUGAGUCGCCUGAACAUCGUGAGGGUCAACAGGUUGGACUACUGCAGUGAGUAUUGGGCUUUAUUUUACUAUAUCUUACAAUAGGAAAUGCAUGUUUUCUUUCAGUCAUGCAUUUCAUAACAUGAGAAUAAAUGUUUGUUUUUGUCAACGUUGUCAACACCGUUGAUGAUGGUGUUCCUUUUCAUGUUUUUUGUCUUUUCACCCCGAUAGGAGGACACUUGAAUAAAUGAAUUUAGAAGACUACAUCAGAUAUUUCAACCAACAACUAUUUGAAAUAAAAACCAAAUACCAGCUAAUCAAUUAGCUUCUGGAUGAGGUCAAAUUCACUUCGCACAAUACUCAUCGCUUUGUAUUGUGUUGUGGAUGCUUCACCACCCAGUUGGUUGCGAUUAAUCUCUCAACCAAAUGUACUUUUUUGUGUCAUUUUGACACUGUUAUUGUAGAUAUUAUUCGGGGUGAUUGUGAGACAUUCAGUACUCAUUGUUCUAUUGCAUUGGUUGUGUGGUUAAUGUUGAUGUGACUUCAUAUCCCAUGUUUCCCCCAUUUAUUAGCAUUCAGAAUCUUGACAGUUACUGUAUCUAGCUGCAUUCCUAUUUGCUCAGUAAAAGCUCACUGUAUAUAUGCCAAGUGACAGUGCAUUUGUUCCACUAGGUGGCAUCUGAAUCUCAUGUACAGUACAUAGAUUAUUUCUUUCAUGUUUCCAUUAAAGUAUAGAAUUCUUUACAAUUUGGACAGAUUUUGCGGCUUCCCCUACACCUCCAAUGAAACUAGUGACUUUUCUACGAAAAGAUAAGCACAAUGGGUAAGGUAAUAUAGUGAAUGCAUACCACACACAUACACAAAAAUGGGUGUCAGACAUGAAUAAGCCAAACAUACAACAACAAAAAAUCUAGAAUCCAUGCAUCCAAGCAUCCAAGCAUCCAAGCAUCCAGAAAUAUACUGAAACAUGUCUGCCUCACCUUCCAAGAGUUGAAACCGUUCCCUAGAGAACCAGCCACCUCCAGGUAAAUCACGCUGUCGAGAUCUGUCAGUGACUCACUGGUGCCAUCACCAACCUGAUAAUUGGCUUUGUCAAAGCUUUGUCUCACAUUCGGCGACGGGUUAGGGGGAGGCAGCAAAUAAAAACGGGGAACAAGUCGAAGUACUGUAUCCACACAGGACUAUUUAGACCUAGAAGAACAGGGAGAGUAAAAAAGAAAACAUUGCAACAAAUACAAUUGGCCUUUUUCUAUGUCCAGCGUCUACAAGUUGUACAGGCUUCUAUACUAUUUAAUGUUCCUCCACCGUAGAUUUAUUUUUAGAGACAGGUAUGUGCUCGUUCAGUAGAUUGGACACAAAAUGUGAUGCUAUUGUAUAAUCAUGGCAAAUGAAAUGUGGUUGUGUUACUGCUGUAAGCCAUGGCAGGAAGCUUUGGAGUGUACGCUGAGCUUAGCAAGCCUGGAGGAGUUAGACAGUCCCAAUUUACUUUCAGCCUCAACACCUCCUGCUCGGUUCCGACUGUGAGCUGGAGAGGAGGGGUGUCUGGCACAGGGAUUGAAAAGUGGUUCAAAGCACAGCAGAAUGCUCAUCCAUUGAACUGAUAAGAUAACUUUUAUCUUCCCUCCCUUGCUCCAUCUCUCUCUCUCUCUUUCCUUCCCCCUCCUGCUGCUCUUGUUUUACUUGAGUUAUAUUACUCGACACACUAGCAAAUAAAUGUUAUGAGCUUUU